rnacentral:rRNA from 1 species
AUACGGGGGGGACGAGCGUUGUUCGGAUUUACUGGGCGUAAAGGGCGCGUAGGCGGACUCUCAAGUCGGGUGUGAAAACUGGCGGCUCAACUGCCAGCCUGCAUCCGAAACUGUGAGUCUUGAGUACGUGAGAGGAAAGCGGAAUUCCAGGUGUAGCGGUGAAAUGCGUAGAUAUCUGGAAGAACACCGGUAGCGAAGGCGGCUUUCUGGACCGAUACUGACGCUAAAGCGCGAAGGCUUGGGUAGCAAACAGGAUUAGAAACCCCGGUAGUCC